CUUCUGAUAAGGGCACCAGUCACCUUGGAUCAGGGUCCACCCUAAUCCAGUCAUGACUCAUCUUAACCAAUUACAUCGUCAAA